UUUUUCUUCCUCAGGUGGGCAGUUCUGCCAUAACUCUGAAUUAAUCCUAGUGGGGAUAGUAAGAACAAUUCCAUGAAUGGUUUUCUGGAAAUUUGACUAAACCUCUAGUUCUGUUUGUGGGAUUGGACCCUGGGGCACACACCAAACCUAGAGACAAGACAUUCCUGUGCCAGUAUCUGCAUUCUCCCUGUGAGGAAGUGGUCAAAGCUGGCAUGAUGUUGUAAGUGUCACUCAUAGAAAUGCACCGUCAGUAUCUGAGAGGACACAAAUGAUUCACAAGGCACUUGAGCGGGAUGUCUGUGUGUUUCCAAUGAAUUGAUCACGGGUAAGGACA
rnacentral:lncRNA from 1 species